AGAGUUCGAAAGCGGCAUCAACCAAGGCCCUGCAAGUCGGCUGAUAACCGAGCUCUCCCGGGCCCCGCCCCCGACAGCAUCAUCCCGACACAUCUGCGAAGAGAAUGCCCACCCGGACGCGGCCCCGUCCCCCAAGUGUGGAUUCGGGUUGUUGGUAAGCUGCCCCGCCUGCGCCGGCCACUGCCCGUGCUGGAGCUGUGGGCGGUUUAUAGGGCCGAGGGCGUAAUCACAAGAUUCCUCUGCCUGCCAAACCUUAGAAGCGGCUUCCCACUUACGCUUGGCUUCGGGGACGGACCUCCAACGCCCGUGGCCCAGCUGAGACUCACCCCACACGGCCAGGAGCUCACCCCGCGCCGGCUGGGCCUCAACCCGUUGUGGCCGGGGCCUCCCCCGACACCGGGUGGGCCUCAGCACGCACGGCCAGGGCCUCCCCCGACACCGGCUGGGCCUCGCCCCGCACCGGCUGGGCCUUCUCCUGACUCUGAGAGCGUCCCGCGGGUCAGAGCGGUGCAGGGUGGGGAGAAGCAGUGUGGCGCGGUGAAAAGAGCGUGGGCUUCGGAAUCAGAGGUCAUGGGUUCGACUCCCGGCUCCGCCACUUGUCAGCUGUGUGACUGUGGGCGAGUCACUUAACUUCUCCGUGCCUCAGUUACCUCAUCUGUAAAAUGGGGAUUAUCCGUGAGCCUCACGUGGGACAAACUGAUUACCCUGUAUCUGCCCCAGCGCUUAGAACAGUGCUCCGCACAUAGUAAGCGCUUAACAAAUACAAAUACCAACAUUAUUACUUGCGGGGAGCUGUAGGACCAGAGUGGAGGCUUCGGGGAACGGGAGGCCGUAGGAGAGGACGUGAGGGGUUGUGUGUGUGGAUUGCGGGCCAGGAGGUGGGAAGACCAAACAGUCUCUGGCCGAGCCUGACGGCCGGCUCGUUUCGCCGUGGGUAAUUCCCCCUUUCAGAGCCACCUCGGACCCGCUCCCUUCCAGCCCCAGCCCUGCCCCGUCGGAGUUGCGG
rnacentral:lncRNA from 1 species